CCUGGUCGAUCCUGCCAGUAGUCAUAUGCUUGUCUCAAAGAUUAAGCCAUGCAUGUCUAAGAAUGAACUAAUUCAGACUGUGAAACUGCGGAUGGCUCAUUACAUCAGUUAUAGCUUUUUUGAUGGUACCAUACUACUCAGAUAACUGUAGUAAUUCUAGAGCUAAUACGUGCACCAAGUCCCGACUCUUUGGAAGGGAUGCAUUUUUUAGAUAGAAGCCCGACACGGGCUUGCCCGCUUCUCCCGUGAAUCAUGAUAACUCGACGGAUCGCACAACCCUUGUAUUGGCGAUGCUUCAUUCAAAUUUCUACCCUAUCAACUUUCGAUGGUAGGAUAGAGGCCUACCAUGGUGGUGAUGGGAGACGGAGAAUUAGGGUUUGAUUCCGGAGAGGGAGCCUGAGAAACGGUUACCACAUCCAAGGAAGGUAGUAGGCACGCAAAUUACCCAAUCCUGACGUGGGGAGGUAGUGACAAUAAAUAACAAUACUAGGCUCAUCGAGUCUGGCAAUUGGAAUGAGUACAAUCUAAAUCCCUUUACGAGGAUCCAUUAGAGGGCAAGUACGGUGCCAACAACUGUGGUAAUUCCAGCUCCAAUAGCGUAUAUUUAAGUUGCUGCAGUUAAAAAGCUCGUAGUUGGAUCUUUGGUCGUAAAGGUCGGUCCACCUACUCGGUGUGCACCUGCCCUUCCAUCCCUUUUUUCGGCAGCGUGCUCCUGACCUUAAUUGGUUGGGUCACGGCUUCGGUGCUGUUACUUUGAAAAAAUUAGAGUGCUCAAAGCAAGAUUAUGCUCUGAAUACAUUAGCAUGGAAUAACGUGAUAGGAGUCUGGUCCUAUUGUGUUGGCCUUCGAGACUGGAGUAAUGAUUAAUAAGGAUUAACGUGGGCAUUCGUAUUUCAUUUUCAGAGGUGAAAUUCUUGGAAUUAUGAAAGACAGACCACUCCGAAAGCAUUUGCCAAGGAUGUUUUCAUUAAUCAAGAACGAAAGUUGGGGGCUCCACCCAACGCCCAAACAAUUCGGGUUUCCACCCGGCGCUCAAAAUUUGGGGUUUCCACCCAGCACCAAAAAUUUGGGGUUUCCAUGCGGCGCUCAAAAUUUGGGGUUUCCACUCGACGCCCAAAAUUUGGUGUUUCCAUGCGGCGGCCAAAAUUUUGGGUUUCCACCGAGCACCCAAAAUUUGGGGUUUCCAUGCGGCAUCCCGGUGCCCAAAAUUUGGGGUUUCCACCCGACACCCAAAAUUUGGGGUUUCCACCCAGCGCCCAAAAUUUGGGGUUUCCAUGCGGCGCCCAAAAUUUGGGGUUUCGACGCCGAGCCCAAAUUUGGGGUUUCCACGCCGCGUCCAAAUUUGGGGUUUCCAUGCCGCGCCCAAAUUUGGGGUUUCCACUCGGCUCCCGAAAUUUGGGGUUUCCACCCAGCGCCCAAAAUUUGGGGUUUCCAUGCGGCGCCCAAAAUUU
rnacentral:rRNA from 1 species